rnacentral:rRNA from 1 species
UACGUAGGGUGCGAGCGUUGUCCGGAAUUAUUGGGCGUAAAGAGCUCGUAGGCGGUGUGUCACGUCGGCCGUGAAAACCUGCAGCUUAACUGUGGGCGUGCGGUCGAUACGGGCAUCACUGGAGUUCGGCAGGGGAGACUGGAAUUCCUGGUGUAGCGGUGAAAUGCGUAGAUAUCAGGAGGAACACCGGCGGUGUAGACGGCUAUCUGGACAGCAACUGACGCUGAGACACGAAAGCGUGGGGAGCAAACAGG